rnacentral:RNase_P_RNA from 1 species
GCAGAGCGAAACUCAUUACAGAGUCAUGGGGCCAUGAGUGUGUCAUGUCACUCCAGCCCCAUGUCCCUUGGGAAGAUCAGAGACUAGGGUCAGAAGCAGCCUUAACAAGGCUCUCCCUGAGUUCCCAGAAAACGGAGCUGCUUGAGGGCAGACGGGGCAGGAGAUACUGUAGACCCUACCACUGGGGAGGAAUUCAAGGGAAGUCUCCUAAGUGCGAGCUUGGAACAGAUUCAGUGAAAUGAGCUCAACGGCUAAGCUAGUUAGGUACCCCACAUGGGGUCCUCAUAACCCAGUUCAGACUGC